rnacentral:tRNA from 1 species
GCCGGAGUGGCGAAAUUGGCAGACGCGCCAGACUUAGGAUCUGGUACAGCGAUGUGUGCAGGUUCAAGUCCUGUCUCCGGCA